UUGACAUAUUUUCAUAUCAUUUUAUUGUAUUUCAAAUAGUUUUCAUGAUAUAUAUAGCGUUGAAAAUGGUUAGGACAGUUUUUCAAUCUCAAAGAUUGAGCAAAAUGAUGUCAAUUUUGAAUUCAAGAUGGCCGCCGUGAAAAAAAUCGAAAACAUGUUGGCUACCCCUCUAAUAUGAUAAAGUACUCCCUAAUGAACGUCUAUGCCAAAUCCCUUGCUUGUAUCACAAUUUGCAUGAUUUUGUCAAAUUUCGGUACUAAGCCGCCCC
rnacentral:lncRNA from 1 species